rnacentral:rRNA from 1 species
GAGUUUGAUCCUGGCUCAGGAUGAACGCUGGCGGCGUGCCUAAUACAUGCAAGUCGAGCGAACAGAUGAGAAGCUUGCUUCUCUGAUGUUAGCGGCGGACGGGUGAGUAACACGUGGGUAACCUACCUAUAAGACUGGGAUAACUCCGGGAAACCGGGGCUAAUACCUGAUAAUAUUUUGAACCGCAUGGUUCAAUAGUGAAAGGCGGCUUCGGCUGUCACUUAUAGAUGGACCCGCGCCGUAUUAGCUAGUUGGUAAGGUAACGGCUUACCAAGGCGACGAUACGCAGCCGACCUGAGAGGGUGACCGGCCACACUGGAACUGAGACACGGUCCAGACUCCUACGGGAGGCAGCAGUAGGGAAUCUUCCGCAAUGGGCGAAAGCCUGACGGAGCAACGCCGCGUGAGUGAUGAAGGUUUUCGGAUCGUAAAACUCUGUUGUUAGGGAAGAACAAAUUUGUUAGUAACUGAACAAGUCUUGACGGUACCUAACCAGAAAGCCACGGCUACUACG